GAUGAACGCUGGCGGCGUGCCUAAUACAUGCAAGUCGAGCGAACAGACGAGGAGCUUGCUCCUCUGACGUUAGCGGCGGACGGGUGAGUAACACGUGGAUAACCUACCUAUAAGACUGGGAUAACUUCGGGAAACCGGAGCUAAUACCGGAUAAUAUAUUGAACCGCAUGGUUCAAUAGUGAAAGACGGUUUUGCUGUCACUUAUAGAUGGAUCCGCGCCCCAUUAGCUAGUUGGUAAGGUAACGGCUUACCAAGGCAACGAUGCGUAGCCGACCUGAGAGAGUGAUCGGCCACACUGGAACUGAGACACGGUCCAGACUCCUACGGGAGGCAGCAGUAGGGAAUCUUCCGCAAAGGGCGAAAGCCUGACGGAGCAACGCCGCGUGAGUGAUGAAGGUCUUCGGAUCGUAAAACUCUGUUAUUAGGGAAGAACAAAUGUGUAAGUAACUAUGCACGUCUUGACGGUACCUAAUCAGAAAGCCACGGCUAACUACGUG
rnacentral:rRNA from 1 species